rnacentral:rRNA from 1 species
UACGUAGGGCGCAAGCGUUGUCCGGAAUUAUUGGGCGUAAAGAGCUCGUAGGCGGUUUGUCGCGUCUGCUGUGAAAACCUAAGGCUCAACCUUGGGCUUGCAGUGGGUACGGGCAGACUAGAGUGCGGUAGGGGUGACUGGAAUUCCUGGUGUAGCGGUGGAAUGCGCAGAUAUCAGGAGGAACACCGGUGGCGAAGGCGGGUCUCUGGGCCGAUACUGACGCUGGAGGAGCGGAAAGCGUGGGGAGCGAACAGG